CCUUUUGAUUGUCACCAUUGUUGAGGUUCAUGUGCUGAUUGUUGAUGUCUUUCUUUGAGUGCAAAAUAUUUUAAACCCAAACUGUUCUUAAAUGAUUUUGUUUUGGUUGUCAUAUCACUGUUUAAUCUUACAGAAGAUGUCAAAGAUAAAAAAUAUGUGUAAUAUAAUCAUUUAACUAAACUCUAAAUAAACCAAAGAAUACUUUAAGCCAGUGUAACAGAUUAUGGCUAUUAGGAACAACCAUCACCACUUAACACUAACAUAAAUGUUGCUACAGCAAAUAAGACACAGUUAUAGCAAUCAAGCAAAACUUAAUUUAAAGAAAAGCAGCGUGUUACUGUCAAAAUUUGGCUAUUUUUUGCAGUGAUUUUUAACAGUGUGUACUGUCAGAAAGAUUCAGAGUCAGUUUGUGUUCACGUUCACUACUUCUCUCUCUCAGGAAGCGAGUGACUCCAUCAGAAGAGCAGAAACACAGAGGAUCAGGACACAAUAAGACGGUGAGUAAAUCUCCUCAUGUAUCUUCACAUCUGUGUCUGUCAGUUCUGGAGGGAGAAUGAAUUCUCUCAUCAUUGUGUGUCGUCAGCUGGAGUCUCCUGAGGAUGCUUACAUGAGCCUUGAGCCCAAGUCCAGAUGUUCUGAAUACGACACACUGGAUAAUAUGAAGAGAUCCUGUGAGAACACAGACCACCCUGAAGCUCAGGAUCCUAUAUAUGAUAGUGUUCAAAGCUGACAAAUGAUUUUUUUUUAAAUCUUAUUUGAAAAUUUUAAUUUGAUCUGACAUCUUAAUUUCAUUUGUCAGUUCAUUUGACGUUCAUUUUUAAAGCUGUGCUGUGAAAAUGCACAGUAUUUCUUUUUCUUUUCUUUUUUUUACUUUUGAGUUAUCUCUUUACAUUGACACAGUGAAGUUAUAUUUACCUAGAAUAUUAAGUACUUUUAACUUGACAAAUUUAGUUAAUUGUCAAGUUUAUGAAAGUAAAGUGGACUUACUUUAAGUUUUCAAAACCAAAGUUCAUGUUCAUUUCACCUAAUUUGGCAUAUUUUCUUAUUCAAACAAAUAAAUAGUUCUUUCAUUUCA
ensembl:lncRNA